CACGUAGGGCGCAAGCGUUGUCCGGAAUUAUUGGGCGUAAAGAGCUCGUAGGCGGUCUGUUGCGUCCGCUGUGAAAACUCGGGGCUUAACCCCGAGCCUGCAGUGGAUACGGGCAGACUAGAGGUAGGUAGGGGAGAAUGGAAUUCCCGGUGUAGCGGUGAAAUGCGCAGAUAUCGGGAGGAACACCGGUGGCGAAGGCGGGUCUCUGGGCCGAUACUGACGCUGAGGAGCGAAAGCGUGGGGAGCGAACAGG
rnacentral:rRNA from 1 species